GGGUUGUGAGGUUAAGCGACUAAGCGUACACGGUGGAUGCCCUGGCAGUCAGAGGCGAUGAAGGACGUGCUAAUCUGCGAUAAGCGUCGGUAAGGUGAUAUGAACCGUUAUAACCGGCGAUUUCCGAAUGGGGAAACCCAGUGUGAUUCGUCACACUAUCAUUAACUGAAUCCAUAGGUUAAUGAGGCGAA
rnacentral:rRNA from 1 species